rnacentral:tRNA from 1 species
GCCGGAUUCGUCUAAUGGUUAGGACGCUAGGUUCUCAGCCUAGUAAUACGGGUUCGAUUCCCGUAUCCGGUA